rnacentral:lncRNA from 1 species
UUUACCUGCGAUGGGACGACGUGUCGGUGGGCCGCGGCACGCCGCUGGUCAGCCUCGUGGUCAACGUCGACGUGCCGCUGCUGGCGUUUGUCGCGUACCUGAGCUUCGUUGCCUUGCUCGGCUUCCUGGGAGCCCUUAGGGAGAACAUCUGCUGCCUCUACUGCUACGACUGGAUGCUCUUCGUCAUGAUGUGCACCUGCAGCGUGGGUUUCGUCCUGCUCAUCAUCAUGCCGUUCCUCGCCACCCAGGGACCUGCAGAGUGUCGUUAGCAUUGAACUGAUCGAGCGCUACCGAGACAACGCAGACUUUACGCGGCUCGUCGACUAUAUUCAGCUCCAGUACAAGUGCUGCGGCGUUACCGAGGCCGCGUACCUGGACUGGAACAGCAACAUCUACUUCAACUGCUCGAAGACGAACCCGAGCGCCGAGCGCUGCUCAGUGCCUCCAUCUUGCUGCCGGGAACCCGAGAAGCAGAACUUGGAGUCGGUGCUCCAGCGCCGCUUCUGCGGCCGCAACGUGCUUUCCAUGGGCGAAACUGAGGCCUGGUCUAAGGUGCACACCCGCAACUGCGUGAACAGCUUCACCAAGUACGUGCAGCAGCAGUCCAUCGCACUGGCCGUGGCGGGCAUCGUGGUGCUGUGCGUGUUGGUGCUCAUUAGAGGCAUGGCGGCCCGGGUGCAGGCCGAGAUUGAGGGCAUCACGCGCCGCUACAACCGCCAUCAGCGAAAGGCCGCGUACCGGGACCGCAUACGCCAGGCCUGGUUGACGGCGGCGCACGUUUCGCCUCCCGCCAUCAACCCAAACCGUGGCCCGUGCGUUGUAUCUUCGAUAUAACGGGACACGAGUUGGUUCACACGCUGAACGACAUUGUAGGACUGCUUUAGCUUCAUCAAAAUAGACCAUCGACUUUGAACUGUCCUAAGAUUUCUACGGCAUGUACUGUAGUGGAGUGCCCUCUCUGACUUAGUUCUUCCUUUUGUAAGUUGGCGGGGUGUCCACCAUGCAUGUGUCUUUAUUGGACAGCACACGCACGUUCACACGUUGGUUCUGUUGCUUGUAGUAAAUUAUGCCUGUGUUAUUUGUAAAUAAUGGUGCUGUGGUAGCACACCUGCGUACGACGCCUUAUUCCUGAGUUAUAUUCCCAGCUGAACAGAACAUUUUUGUUUUUUCAAUUCUUUCUAAAGUCCUAACUUUCAAUCAUGGACAACGCUGAAUAUUUCGCUGACAACAUUCUACACUAACGCCGAUGCUCGACGUUCUGCAAAACGAGCUCUUUAAUGUUGUGGUGUGAAUAAGGUUAUUCCAUUGCACUAGGUAGUUAGGCAGACAGACAGGCAGAUGAUAGAUGGUACUAAUUAAAUUACAAUAUUAUGUUGGCCUAUUUCAUUCACCACAUACUCUGUCACCAACGUUUUCUUAAGUUCAGGCACUGCUGAAGACUAUAUAUUGAUCUCGACGGUCAUGACACCUGGUGACAGAAGAAGCUCAAUGCACGUCACCAAUGUUAGCCAUGUUUUCGUUGCGAACAGUGCAAAUGUUAAAGUGGAUCGGGUGGAAUGUAUUCAUGCCUGUGCGUGGGCGCUGAUAGCAUGUAUGACAAUUUAGUUAGUAAGGUAAAUGUUUGCCGCAGUUAUAGGGCCGACAAAACUACGAAACAUUGCUAGCAUUGCUGACUGCAUGUGCUUCGUCUUCUGACGAAAGAAGUUUUUGAGAAGCUCUUACUAUUUCCCAUCAUACUUUUUCAGAUAUUCUGGUGUACACUAUUUGUGAGGCUCAACUAAAAAAUUAAUUGCUUUGUGCAGGUCACCAGUACUUUCCGUGAUGCCAACGCACGUGGUGUAGCCCGUCCUUGUCUAUUCCCACUGAACAGUUCUUCGUAGUAUUCUGUUGUGAUGAUUUUUGGAGAUAACUGGUGGAAGACAUUAUUAACUUGCACAAUCAUUGUGGCUUACGUGACUCUUAUCAAGUCAUUACAAUCUCUUAUUGAAUUAUUAUACCUGAUUGAAUGGUACUGUUAACUCGAACGUUUUGUGGUAAUAAAACAAUUCUCAAGUAGA